GGCCCUCAGAGCCAAAGCCGUCACAGUGCUGUGUUUUGCAUUGGGAGCUACAAAGGGGUUAAUCACACCAAUGCUUUGGCAACUGCUGAGCAGGGCUGGCACAGCAUC